UGGCAUUAUGCAUUGCAGAUUUAGGCCUCAAAGACUAAACUGGCUGUUCGAGGUAUCAUCUUAAACUACGAUUUUUUUUUCUCACUGCACUAUUUAGGUGAUUUGCAACAAAUGGUUGGCAAUAUGUACAGUGUGUUUAUUCAUGUAGAUUUUUCUCACUGCACUAUUCAGCACGUACUCUAGAAAUGUAAUGGUUAAUUUUGAUGAUGAUUGAUAUUUUUUGUUGCUUUAUCAGGAACUGAACAUUCAAAAUUAGCGUGCAUUUGCUUAAGUACUGACAUUCGUGCAGCACGGUUGAUGCAUCAGUUCGUUCAGUUUCAAGGCGUUCCUUUGAAGGUAUUACCGUUUCUCCUUGCUCUUAGCUCCAGGAUGAGGCCAGAAACAACAAGCUUUGCAUAGUAAUUUUAUCAUGACCAAUGUCACAACCUUGCAACUAUUUAAAACUUCUCGUUCAUGUUUAGUACUCUGCUUCCUCUUCCAUUAAUCCUCCGUAUGUUCCUAUCAAUUUGUUUCCAUGUUGAUUCUGUAUUGUAUUCAUUCAGGCCUUUUGUCCGAAUUUUGAACUAUGCCAUAUCCAGGUGAAUUAUUAGUGUUUUGAGUUUCUAUGCUGGUUUCCAUUUGAUGUGUAUGCUACAAACCAGUGGAGGUUUGGCUGGGCAUCACUCUAACACAUGUUUACUUAUACCGAAGGAACUACAAAUACUUUUAUCAACACUACUGAGUGAACCUGGCUACAUUGCUUGAACGAUGUUUGAUCAAAUGGAUGAAAAAUACUUGUUCUCUUUUGCCAUCUCAAGUUAAUUCUCCCUAUCUCUACAAUAAUAUUUUGUCACCUAUAUCAAGCGAUGCUUUAAUUGGUUUGAAAGUGAACUUCUCUUUUGUACGCCAAUUUCAAACCUCCCAAAGCGGUCCGCGGUGGGAUACCCAUUUGCUUUCCCCAAUUUGGAUCUAAUGGAAAUCUUGAGCAGCAUGGAUUUGCAAGGAAUCGGCUUUGGACAAUUGAUGAUAAUCCACCCCCUUUACCAGUAAAUCCUUCAAUUAAAGCUUUUGUUGAUAUUAUCCUGAAGCCUAAUGAAGAUGAUUUAAAAAUAUGGCCCCACAGGUUUGUGUUAGAGGCUUAAACCACGAAUUGACACAUUGACAACCUUUUAUGCAUUUGAUCAUGUAUACACAUAUUUGACUCUGCUCUCUUCUUAUUUAACAAUAACAGUUUUGAGUUUGGCUUCAGAAUUGCUCUUGAUGCUUUGGGGGAUUUGAGUCUCACGUCUGAUGGAAGACCUUUUCCUUAUACAUUUGCAUAUCAUACAAACUUCUCUGUUUCUGACAUAAGGUUUCUUGUGAUAGUUGUGCAUGUGGUUUGUCUGAUUGUGGUGGUUAUUGGGCUGUAGUUAUUCCUGCAGGUUAGUCAGAUUUUUUUUCUUUCCUGGUACAUGGUUCACAUUAACAGGUUCAGGUAUAACAUUGAUCAACACAUACACUUUCUACAUCAAGAAACCAUGUUAUUAUCAUCUCCUUUACCAGGAAAAAAUAAUGGAUGGAACUGCUCAAUCUCUAUUUAGCAUCCAAUACUUGCGCCCUCAGAAUUCUCACCAUGGAGCUACGACUUACAACACUGGUUCUUUUCUCUCCGAUCUGAAAAUUUACCCAGAUCUACUCCCAGGCUCAACAUUUCUGUCAUGACGAUGAGAUCGACAUGAAAAGCACACCAUCAGCUACCUCAUAUAUGUACAUGCCACGACUUCUCUUGUUCCCCUUCUCCGGCGACACGGGACUGUUCUGUGCAUCUUUGUACUAACUUUACAACUGCAGGCAUACCAGAUGCAGGUCAAAACAGAGGAAAGAUCUGCAAUUACGCCGCCCCCAGCAAAGAAGACUAAAAGGUAGAGUGCAAUCAGAGCUCCUCCUGGUUUUCCACCAUUUGAGGGCCCCACUGUGAAACAGCAGGCUAUUAUACCGACCGUGGGAGGCAAAAAGAAUAAGGCCGCGCAGGAGCUCGAAGAAGAUAAGCCAGGAACAGUGAAGCGAGGCUGGCGCACGCUGGUUGGGUGCCUGCGACAGGCCAACUUCCGAUGUCACUUGAUGCGCAAGGUCAGUGUUAAUCCAUAUGGCCUGCUCAAGGUUCUAAAGGCGGUGAUUUUUGACGGAAGAUCGUGCUCGGCAACGUGGUUGAAGAUGCAUGGCGUGCGAGACUUGGAGUGGAGGAGGUGUGUCUUCAUUGAGCACGGAUGGGAUGAAUUCGCCGAGGCAACAACAUCUAAGAAGGUGAUGGUUUUUCUUUACUUACACUAUGGGUUUCUCAGUGAAGGUGGUCAUAAUCGGGAGCAGUGGCUCUGAAAAAAUCUCUGGGCAUAUUGGGUGAUGCAACACCUAAAUGCUUGACCAAAGAUUACUUUUGCUUACGAUUGUUGUGAACUUGUGAUCUGUGUUAAAGCAUGCAACCUGCCUAUCUGUGAACUUUCGAGUAGCAGGUUACUCUAUUCUGUUGUGUUUA